GAUGAAGAACGUAGCGAAAUGCGAUAAGUAAUGUGAAUUGCAGAAUUCAGUGAAUCAUCGAAUCUUUGAACGCACAUUGCGCCCGCCAGUAUUCUGGCGGGCAUGCGUGUCUGAGCGUCAUUUCAACCCUCAUGCCCCUAGGGCGUGGUGUUGGGGAUCGGCCAAAGCCCGCGAGGGACGGCCGGCCCCUAAAUCUAGUGGCGGACCCGUCGUGGCCUCCUCUGCGAAGUAGUGAUAUUCCGCAUCGGAGAGCGAUGAGCCCCUGCCGUUAAACCCCCAACUUUCCAAGGUUGACCUCAGAUCAGGUAGGAAUACCCGCUGAACUUAAGCAUAUCAAUAAGCGGAGGA
rnacentral:misc_RNA from 1 species